GCGACACCUUCAAUACAUCCAAAUCAUAGUGGCAUUUACUUCUGCAAGGUGUCAAAAGACAUACCCAUACGUGAAAAGGGGACACAUGUGUUGCCAGUGCAUCACAUGUAACCACACCAAGUUCUUUGACCAUUUCAAAUCCAGUAAAUCCCUCGGAAGACAGAAUAACAAAAUCGUCACUUUUAGGGUUGGGAAUUCUCAUGCUGGUUUUCAUGCUGAUUUUAGUCAUUUUCAGAUAUUACAACAUACAUUGUAGAACUGAACUUACAGCAAAAGGAGCUCUAGUGGCAAGGUUUGGAUCACAGUAUCCUGUUACUUGCGAAACUGUCACGUCUGUUGUUUAUACUACAUUCCAAAUGUGAUGUGGUCCUCAAGUAAGAAAUGAGCUUUGGUACACAUCACAGUGACCUGUACUGAGAAUCAGUGAUAUACUUUGAGGUUCACAUGACGAGUGAACCAAAGGAUGAAGUUUGAAUUUUCUAGAGC